AUAUAACUAGGCGGAGGAAAAGAAACUAACCAGGAUUCCCUCAGUAACGGCGAGUGAAGCGGGAAAAGCUCAGACUGAAAAUCUUCGGAGUUGUAGUCUGGAGAAGCCAGGUGUGUGUUUUGGAAAGAGAAAAGUAUGCUGGAAUGCAUCGCCGAGGAGGGUGACAGCCCCGUUCAUUCUCUUUUUAAAACAUAAUAAGCCGGCUUUCAACGAGUCGAGUUGUUUGGGAUUGCAGCUCUAAGUGGGUGGUAAAUUCCAUCUAAAGCUAAAUAUGAAUGGGAGACCGAUAGCGAACAAGUACCGUGAGGGAAAGAUGCAAAGAACUUUGAAAAGAGAGUGAAAGAGUACCUGAAAUUGCUGAAAAGGAACCGAUGGGAGGCAGUGUUGUGGUGGAGGAUUCAUUCUCUGCCCAUGUGCGGCUUGGUAGGAGAGGUGGGAAACGUGUGGUUGAAUGUAUUUUAACUGCAAAGAUCAUCUCCUUUACCCACUCGGACGAAAUGUCUCUUAUCAA
rnacentral:rRNA from 1 species